GACGAACGCUGGCGGCGUGCUUAACACAUGCAAGUCGAACGCUGAACCCGCUUCGGUGGGGGAUGAGUGGCGAACGGGUGAGUAACACGUGGGCAACCUGCCCCCGGCUCUGGGAUAACUCCAAGAAAUUGGGGCUAAUACCGGAUGUGACCGCUGGCCGCAUGGUCUGGUGGUGGAAAGGGUUUCCGGCUGGGGAUGGGCCCGCGGCCUAUCAGCUUGUUGGUGGGGUAGUGGCCUACCAAGGCGACGACGGGUAGCCGGCCUGAGAGGGUGACCGGCCACACUGGGACUGAGACACGGCCCAGACUCCUACGGGAGGCAGCAGUGGGGAAUAUUGCGCAAUGGGCGGAAGCCUGACGCAGCGACGCCGCGUGGGGGAUGACGGCCUUCGGGCUGUAAACCUCUUUCAGCAGGGACGAAGCGCAAGUGACGGUACCUGCAGAAGAAGCACCGGCCAACUACGUG
rnacentral:rRNA from 1 species